rnacentral:rRNA from 1 species
UCUGACGACCAUAGCGGCCCGGAACCACCUGAUCCCAUCCCGAACUCAGAAGUGAAACAGGCCUGCGCCGAUGGUAGU